rnacentral:tRNA from 2 species
GCGGUCGUGGCGGAAUUGGUAUACGCGCAACGUUGAGGUCGUUGUGGAGGAAACUCCAUGGAGGUUCAAGUCCUCUCGGCCGCACCA